rnacentral:miRNA from 1 species
UGCUUACAGCCUCUGCUGCACA